CUGCCGACGCAGUGCGCGCUCUGCUGGGCGAAUUUGGAAGCCUCCCCUCUUUUUCACUGUGAGCUGCUGCCGUGCGGUUUAGCGCAGAUGCGACGCGUUCCCAGAUCGAUCGCUGACACCUCGGCACAGGUUCGCUGCUUCGUGUUCGGAGCGAUGUACGACAGUCGCUCAUCGGGUGUGCACGACGUGGCACCACGAGAUGAAGUCGACUUCAUGUACGAGGGACCACACCAGGUACUCCCGGGUGCGCAUCCGCUGCCGCUUUUCCACCCCAACAACUCUGUCACACGACCACCCGUAUCCCCUUACCUGCCGUCUCCUCAGCGGCCACACCCGUACUUCACCCACGAACUGCCGGAGCUGCCACAUUUUCAGACAACGAGGCCGAUCGUCUACACCGUGGGCACAAUGAAGCAACGCAUCGUGGCGCCGGUGUUCGACCUCUCGAACAACGUCACGCACACUCGCGAGUUGGACCCGUUCAUAUUCGGCUUUUACCCGGAAACAGAGGAGAUGGCCAAAAACCUGAGCUACUGGCUCGUGCGCUGCCAGAACUUUUCCAGCAAGUGGGACUACGAGAACCGCGAGAUUUGGCGAAAGGCCAAGAAGAACUGGCCGAAUACGGGCAUGGGCAUGGCACGCGUUGGCGACCGCAAGAACCACGCCCACCCAUGGGGAGCGCAAUCAAAGCCGGUGAAGCCGUGGAACAUGCUCAUGCCAACAAUGGAUGUUAAGACGUGGAGCAAGAGUAAUCGCAUGCUCGUCACGCUCAAGAUGCUGCAGGGAAAACUGCAAAUUGUGGAGCGUCUGACGCUGCCCGAGCCCACGCAGGAGGCGUACCUGCAGCUGUGCCGCACCAUGGGCUGGGACGUGCGACACACGGGCGGUGGCGCACUGUUCAUGGAUGGGGGCUCGCGGCUGACGCCGAGCAGCGAGUACGAUCGCGCGUUCUUCUUUGGUAGCUUUUUCAAUGGGCGCAACAAGCUGGUCCGUCCGACGCUGUUGUGCGACGAGCCCUACGACUACAACCGCACCUCUUCCAAGGCGCGCACCAAAGGCCCGAAGGGCCAGAAGAACCCCAUCCCCAUCAACCGAUUUAACGCCUACGACGCUCUCACCCACGACACUCUCAUCAUUACGGAAGGCGCACUAAUGCAACUUGAAGAUGAGAUGUACACGCACAAGUUGGCAAUACUACCGCCGCACAUCCGCGCGCAAUUGCCGGAGCGUGGGUUUCUCGACAGCGAGGUCUUGGGUGACGUGCCGCCUGCACUGCAGACUGUCCAGAUGGAGGCGGCGGCGCGCACGGAGGAGGCAGAGCGGGCAAUGUACGCCCCAUACUACGACAACCCAUAUCACCCAUGGAAGGAUGAGGGUGAGGCGUCGUACGCCGUGGACGCUGUCGAAGGGACGGUGCAGCGCUACAUCAAGUCUCGCAAGACGUCGUGGAUGAUGCUCUCGUAGAAUACCGCACAUCACAGAUGUACGUGACUGGGCCGGUGUUCGUUCUGCCGGCGCGCGGCCGCUGAAGGACUCGUGCACGUUGUGUGCACGAACGCCGUUUUGCGACUCCAGCUGUGUCCGUCAAACACACACGCAAGCACACGCAUCUCGCUGUGCUGACGAGUGGUGCAUCUAAGGCGAUGGCUGCUGGUGAUUAGUGCUGUUGUGUUUUGUUUCAGUUACUGGGUUACAUUUCCAUACACACAAAG
rnacentral:misc_RNA from 1 species